rnacentral:rRNA from 1 species
GACGAACGCUGGCGGCGUGCUUAACACAUGCAAGUCGAACGGAAAGGCCCUGCUUUUGUGGGGUGCUCGAGUGGCGAACGGGUGAGUAACACGUGAGUAACCUGCCCUUGACUUUGGGAUAACUUCAGGAAACUGGGGCUAAUACCGGAUAGGAGCUCCUGCUGCAUGGUGGGGGUUGGAAAGUUUCGACGGUUGGGGAUGGACUCGCGGCUUAUCAGCUUGUUGGUGGGGUAGUGGCUUACCAAGGCUUUGACGGGUAGCCGGCCUGAGAGGGUGACCGGCCACAUUGGGACUGAGAGACGGCCCAGACUCCUACGGGAGGCAGCAGUGGGGAAUAUUGCACAAUGGGCGGAAGCCUGAUGCAGCAACGCCGCGUGCGGGAUGACGGCCUUCGGGUUGUAAACCGCUUUCGCCUGUGACGAAGCGUGAGUGACGGUAAUGGGUAAAGAAGCACCGGCUAACUACGUG